rnacentral:lncRNA from 10 species
AUUUUUAUAAAAUUGUCUCCAUAAGAUUAUUAGAAAAUGCUAAUGAGACAAUUAAUAAAUGUGAAAUAUUUGUACUUAAGCUGGUUCUAUAAAGACAAGUUGAAAAAGUUAAUUUUAUUUGUAUAUAUUAUCAAACUGGUCGAUUCUUGGUGAUUUGGAAAGCUUUGGCAUAAAUUAUCAAAUUAAUGAGGUCAUUAUUGCCAAGUCCCUAAUUUACUUUGAACAAUGAAAACCACCACAGUAGAAACAAAACACAUAGAAUCUCACCAAGGUAGGAAACACCUUCUUCUGGAGAUAUUGUUCCAUAUUUCACCAUCAUCUUCACAAAGUCAAUCAGUGUUUUCAUGAUAGUAAUCAGUGUUUCUUUCUCUUUUGCUUCUUUUUCUAUAUGAAAGAACAAAAUAACUUAAAACUGUGGGGGAUAGCUUCCUCUUUCAAUGUCAAUUUAUAAAGUACAGCAUCUUUUUGUUUGUUUGUUUGGGUUUUUUUUUUUUUUCAAAGACGAGGUCUCACUGUGUGGCCCAGGCUGGAAUGCAGUGGCUAUUCUCCGGUCUGAUCAUGGCUCACUACAGUCUCAGACUAAUCUCCUGCACUCAAGAGAUCCUUCCAUGAAGUUGGAACUAUAGGACACAUCCGUAGAAGUAUUUGGCAUCACGCUGCUGCUCUUCACUGAUGAGAAGUGACUCACCAGGAUGACAGAGGUUCUGAGUAGGGCAUCUGCCAACCAAUGGGGCAAGAUGGCUCAGAAUGGACCCUCAAGAUGUACAAGCCCUGCAGAGCCAGCAGAGUGGCCGGUGCCAUCUGGCCAAUGUCUGGAAUUGAAGCACAAAGGAUGUUCUCCAGAAAUGAAAGCUUAUUUUAAGGUCACUUCUUGGGAGAAAUAGAUUACAAUUAUAGAAGUCUUUAUAUAAAUGUUCAAUCUGGGGCUGAAUCCUUGAACAGGGAAAGAAAAAGCCAUGAAGGCAGUCCAGAGCAUCUGUUUGAACAAUAACAACAGAAACAUUGCACAUUAUUAUCCUCCUUGCAGAUUAACCAAAAUAAACAUGGACUGAAUCCUCAGUUAACUCACUGCACAUAUGAGCAAAGAGAUCAGGAUGCAUGAAAUACUUAGCUUUAAAAAAACAAAAACAAAAACAAAUAAUUUCCCAAGUGUGUUUGAGGUUCCCAGAUUCCUUCAGUCUAAUGUUCUCCAUUUUAACUCUGAAGUUAAAAUGUUCAUAAAGGCUGAAACUGAAACUGUUCAUAAAGAUCUCUUGAAUAAUAUAAAAAGGAUGAAUUAGGUUUCAUACACUGUUUCCAUUAAGGAAAGUGAGUAGAGCCUUUUAAAGAAAGAUUUGUUACAAAUGGAAGGAUUUCCUUCCUACUUUUGUGUGUGUGUAUGACAACAUGUAUGCUAAUAAAAAAAGGCAGGCAAAGAAAGACAAAUACUGUAUGAUCUCACUUAUAUGUAGAAUCUCAAAUAGUCAAACUCAUCGAAGAAGAGAGUAGAAUGGUAGUUGCCAAGGGCUAAGGGGAGGGAAAAAUGGGGAGGUGUUGGUCAAAGGGUAUGAAAUUUCAGUUAUGCAAGAUGAAUACAUUCUGGAGAAUGUACAGCAUGGUGGUGAUAGUUAACAAUACUGUACUGUGUACUUGAAAUUAGCUAAGAGGGUAGGUCUUAAGUGUUCUCAUCACACACACAAAAAGAAUAAAAGAAAAAAAAGAAAAAAAUGUUAACUAUAAGGUGAUAGAUACACUAGUUAGAUUCAUUGUGAUAAUCAUUUCACAAUGUAUAAAUGUACCAAAACAUCAAAUUGUACACCUUAAAUAUAUACAAUAUUUGUUUGCCAAUUAUACCUCAAUCAAGCUGAGAAAAAAAGAGUUGCAAUAAGAGUUGAGGUUGAACUGGGUCAGAGCAAGGACACUGCCUGGUUCAUAUCCAUCUUUGUGCUAGGUCUUUUCCAGCACCUUGUACAUAGCACACGUUCAGUAUUUGUUUGCUGAACAAAUAAAUGAACCUUCUGUUAACAAGAAGAUUAAAUUAUCCAGAAACAUCACCUUUCCUAAAUAUUUUCAUAACUGGCAUGCUCCUUUGGAAAAAAAAAUCGAUGUGAACCCUUUUCCCCAAGCCCACAGUGUAUGUCAUUGGAGAUUACAUUUGGAAACUGAAAACAGGAAGAAAAGAACACACCCAUACAUUUCCUGGAAUCACUCUUUCUGUUCCACAUAAUCACAACCACACAGUGGUUACCUGAAUCAAUACUUUUCAGUAGCGCAUAGAAAUUUGGGAAAUAUU